rnacentral:rRNA from 1 species
GUAGUCUCGCACAGAUGCAUAUCAAUAAGCGGAGGAAAAGAAACUAACAAGGAUUCCCCUAGUAACGGCGAGUGAAGCGGGAAGAGCUCAAAUUUGAAAUCUUAAAGGGUUUCCCUUUACGAAUUGUAGUUUAAAGAAGUGUUUUCUGUUGAGGUUUUGGUAAAAGUUCUUUGGAAUAGGACAUCAUAGAGGGUGAGAAUCCCGUAUUUGACCUUUACUUUCAACUUUGUGAUACACUUUCAAAGAGUCGGAUUGUUUGGGAAUGCAGUCCAAAAUGGGUGGUAAAUUUCAUCUAAAGCUAAAUAUUGGCGAGAGACCGAUAGCGAACAAGUACCGUGAGGGAAAGAUGAAAAGAACUUUGAAAAGAGAGUUAAACAGUACGUGAAAUUGUCAAAAGGGAAGCGUUUGACACCAGUGUUGUUUUUCUGAAAAUCAAUUAAAGAACUGUUUAUGCUAAGCUGUUUAGACUUUAUCAGCUAUACUGUUUAGUUUUGAGCUUUUCUUUAAUGCACUUUUCAGUUAACAAGUCAACAUCAAUUUCUUUUGCUGUAAAAAAGCUUGAGGAAGGUGGCUUGAGAUUCGUCUUAAGUGUUUAUAGCCUCUUGCCUAUGCAGUCGGAGAGAUUGAGGUCUGCAGCGUAGAUCCUUCGGGACUAAAUGCAUUUGUGCUAAGUUAUAGCAUUUUAUAGACAACUUGUUGACUAUGAUUUGUCUUGUAGCUUACUCGCUUAUGUUAUUUUACCUACGCUUAGGAUGUUGAACUACUGAGACAUAGA